rnacentral:rRNA from 1 species
ACAGAGGGUGCAAGCGUUAAUCGGAGUUACUGGGCGUAAAGGGGGUGUAGGCUGGCAUUUAAGUCAAUUGUGAAAUCCCUGGGCUUAACCCAGGAGUUGCAGUUGAUACGGAAUAGCUUGAGUAUGGUAGAGGAAAGUGGAAUUCUCGGUGUAGCGGUUAAAUGCGUAGAUAUCGAGAAGAACACCGGUGGCGAAGGCGACCAUCUGGAUCGAUACUGACGCUGAGGCACGAAAGCGUGGGGAUCAAACAG